UGUUACAGAUAAAACAUCAAAACAUUGAAGAAGCUAGAACGACCAAACUAACACCAACACCUAAGCCAGAUACAAAUAAAAUAUCGACAUCAACGAAUACUUUUAAUUUUUCCAACGUCUCAUAAUGAAGAUAUGCACUAUUUUAGGGUUCAAGAGAACAACCGCUUGCAGAAGGAACAUGAGCUGCGCAUAGAACAAAUGUCUGAGCAACAUGCUCAGAUUAUGAUCAAUUUAAAAUUGCAAGAGGAUAUUUUAAAAAAGAAAAAGGAAGAAAAUAUAUAAAUAUAAAUGAUUGUCUAUGAUAUAAUA
rnacentral:lncRNA from 1 species